rnacentral:rRNA from 1 species
GACAGAGGAGGCGAGCGUUAUCCGGAGUUAUUGGGCGUAAAGGGUACGUAGGCGGCUGGUCAAUUCUGGGGUUAAAGACCACAGCUUAACUGUGGGGGGGCCUUGGAAACUGACCGGCUGGAGUGGGGCAGGGGUUGCGGGAAUUCCCGGUGUAGCGGUGAAAUGCGUAGAUAUCGGGACGAACACCUGAGGCGAAAGCGCGCAACUAGGCCCUAACUGACGCUGAGGUACGAAAGCUAGGGGAGCGAAUGGG